UUUCCGUAGGUGAACCUGCGGAAGGAUCAUUAAUAAUAAGUGUUUCAUGGCACUUUUUGAAAUCCAUAUCCACCUUGUGUGCAAUGUCAGGGUUGAUUUUUCUCUCGAGAGGAUCAACCCCAAACAUCAACUAUAUCUCAACUCUUUGUCUGAAAAAUAUUAUGAAUAAAACAAUUCAAAAUACAACUUUCAACAACGGAUCUCUUGGCUCUC
rnacentral:misc_RNA from 1 species